rnacentral:snRNA from 1 species
AUCGCUUCUCGGCCUUUUGGCUAACAUCAAGUGUAGUAUCUGUUCUUAUCAGUUUAAUAUCUGAUACGUUCUCUAUCCGAGGACAAUAUUUUAAGUGGAUUUUUGGAGCAGGGAGAUGGAAUAGGAGCUUGCUCCGUCCACUCCACGCAUCGACCUGCUAUUGCAGUACUUCCAGGAACGGUGCACUCCUC